GGUGUCCUAUGGCCAAUCACAUUUGGAAAAACUACCCAUUUAUGCCCGUUAUUGGAGAUUCAUAAGACUUUGUAGUUUUUCCAAGCCCAGGGGAAGUAUAAAGCUGAACCAAACACUAAAAUGGAAACGAAGAUAGAAGUUCUCUUAAACAACAAAUACUGAAGAUGUAUGCUUAUAGCCAACUUUCCUCCUUAUAUUUUCUUUAAAAAUAAAUGAUGUAAAAUUAC